rnacentral:piRNA from 1 species
UGCACAGGCUCAUUUUACGUGGUGCUA